UACUAAAGAAGCCACUCCACGUAUGAGAGCUUUCAACAUUCAGCGACUUCUACGAGACAUUGAGAGCAACACAACAGCCAUGCAGCAGAGCCGGACCGGCAUAGCUGCAGUGUUUCUUCUGAUGAAGCACUUCCAGGAGCAAGAGGAGUUUUGGCAGAUGCAACUGCGACAAAGCGAUCGAUUGAGACAGACAUGACACUCCCAUCCACGCCAAGACUGAUUAUGCUUGGGAACACAUUUCUCUCGGCCACAAAAUGGAAGGUGAGCAUCGAAAGGAGGGUGGCCUAUGUUUUAGAGGAGCACCUGGGGUUUGCAGAUGCCCUGUCAGUGUUUUUUG